rnacentral:lncRNA from 1 species
UUUUCUGGACCACAAGACAUUAUAUUAUGAUGUGGAGCCCUUCCUGUUCUAUGUUAUGACAGAGGCGGACAACACUGGCUGUCACCUGAUUGGAUAUUUUUCUAAGGAAAAGAAUUCAUUCCUCAACUACAACGUCUCCUGUAUCCUUACUAUGCCUCAGUACAUGAGACAGGGCUAUGGCAAGAUGCUUAUUGAUUUCAAGAUUCAUUAUCAAAAUAAUGGUGAAGGCUUCCAGAGUUCUUUUAGUGCCUAUUACAGUAGUGCCCUC